GAUGAACGCUGGCGGCGUGCCUAACACAUGCAAGUCGAACGAUUAAAGCACCUUCGGGUGUGUAUAAAGUGGCGAACGGCUGAGUAACACGUGGGCAACCUGCCCCUUUCAUUGGGAUAGCCACGGGAAACCGUGGAUAAUACCGAAUACUUCGAGACUUCCGCAUGGAAGACUCGAGAAAGCUCCGGCGGAGAGGGAUGGGCCCGCGGCCUGUUAGCUUGUUGGUGGGGUAACGGCCUACCAAGGCAAUGAUGGGUAGCUGGGUUGAGAGACCGACCAGCCAGAUUGGGACUGAGACACGGCCCAGACUCCUACGGGAGGCAGCAGUGGGGAAUCUUGCACAAUGGGCGAAAGCCUGAUGCAGCGACGCCGCGUGCGGGAUGAAGGCCUUCGGGUUGUAAACCGCUUUCAGCAGGGACGAGGCGAAAGUGACGGUACCUGCAGAAGAAGCCCCGGCUAACUACGUG
rnacentral:rRNA from 1 species